rnacentral:misc_RNA from 1 species
UCUCCGUAGGUGAACCUGCGGAGGGAUCAUUACCGAGUGAGGGGGCCCUCGCGCCCCCGACCUCCCAACCCUUUGUUGACCAAACCACUUUUGCCUCGGGGGCAGAGCGGCCUCCGCCGCCCCCGGUGGACCAUUCAACCCUGUCUCUGUACGUCGGAGUCUUUGAUGAAUAAAUGAAAACUUUUAACAACGGAUCUCUUGGUUCUGGCAUCGAUGAAGAACGCAGC